rnacentral:rRNA from 1 species
GAAGUCAGACCGGAAGGACUGGUGGAGCGCUUAGAAGUGAGAAUGCCGGUAUGAGUAGCGAAAGAAGGGUGAGAAUCCCUUCCACCGAAUAUCUAAGGUUUCCUGAGGAAGGCUCGUCCGCUCAGGGGUAGUCGGGACCUAAGCCGAGGCCGAUAGGCGUAGGCGAUGGACAACAGGUAGAGAUUCCUGUACCAGUGCUAAUUGUUUAACCGAUGGGGUGACACAGAAGGAUAGGGAAUCGCACGAAUGGAAAUGUGCGUCCAAGCAGUGAGUGUGAGAAGUAGGCAAAUCCGCUUCUCGC